rnacentral:ribozyme from 14 species
UUUUUAUCUGACUUCUUUUUUGAUUUCCCCCCCUUUUUGCUCCUUCCCUUCCUCCUCUUUUCUACUUGUCUGAGUAUAUUUGAAAACUGCAGAAAUAGGCAAGUGGUCUGAGGGAUGCCAAGAGUUUGGAAUGCAGUCACCAUUGUAAAUUAUUUUCUCUAUUU